GGAGGCCGAGUGGCGUCUCACUGGUUCCAAGGCAACGGGUCGCCUGUGUCACGACGUCUACGGCGGGCGCCGAGAGCCAAGCUUCCUGAGCCUGAAUGAGCCUGGAAGAGAACCCCAAGCCACAGAUGCAAUCUGAAUGGGAUAAUUAGAUCAUCCCACUGACACUUUGAUUUCAGGUGAGAUCCUAAGCAAUGAAGUCAGCCCAGACUCCUGACUGAUGGAAACUGUGAGAUAAUAAAUUUGUAUUGUUUUAA